rnacentral:lncRNA from 1 species
UGAUGUUAUCGGCAAAUAGAGAUGUGGGAUUUCAGCUCAUCCAUCAUUGACGACUUCUCAUCCAUCAUUAUCUCUGGCAAUUGAAUUUCUUAGAGAUUAUCUUGAUCUAUAGUUUUUAUUUUGUUGAAAAUUGCCUAGAAUAGAUAAUUUUUAAGAUUCAAGCACCUUAUCGACAAUCCAUUAGCUUUGAGAGUCAUCGAUCAGAGUCAUCGACAAUCCAUCUAUCGUCAGGUCUCACGAUCGCAGGUUUCUUCUUUAACUGCUAUAUUUUUCGAUUUGAUUUAUUUUCUCGCAAAUCUAGCUUUGAGUAUGUAUUUUGCAGCUUGUUCUUGUUUCAGGGCAAUUCAUGAUUGUCUUCCUAAUUAUGUACUAACGCUUUCUUAAAUUUCAGAAAACUCUUGUGUUUUUUUUUUUCUUCUGAAAUCAAGUUUUUAAUCAUGCAAUGCAUCUUUAUUUUUUUGUGAACUGUAAUAAAUAAUUUGUAACUUUUGAUUUAUUUAUGAGUUGUAACUCUUGAUGUUUUCUCUGUUUGAAGGUCUUUUCAAAAUCUCAAUCACACAAGUAUAAUAGAUAUGACAUACUUAGGACCCAAAGAGUACAUAUGAAGCUUUUCAUAUGUUUUAGAAAACCUAUACAUUUAGGAAAACAUUCUUUAAAC